GACGAACGCUGGCGGCGUGCUUCACACAUGCAAGUCGAACGAGGUCCAUCCGGUGGCAACACCGGUGAAGACCGAGUGGCGAACGGGUGAGUAACACGUGAGCAACCUGCCCCGGAGACCGGGAUAACGACCGGAAACGGUCGCUAAUACCGGAUGUCCUUUUCUGGUCGCAUGGCCGGAAAAGGAAAUGGAUUCCGCUCCGGGAGGGGCUCGCGGCCUAUCAGCUUGUUGGUGGGGUAACGGCCCACCAAGGCGUCGACGGGUAGCUGGUCUGAGA
rnacentral:rRNA from 1 species